CAGGUUUACCUGUGUGACUGCGUACCUUUUGUAUAAUGGGUCAGCGACUUAUAUUCUGUAGCAAGGUUAACCGAAUAGGGGAGCCGGAGGGAAACCGAGUCUUAAUUGGGCGUUAAGUUGCAGGGUAUAGACCCGAAACCCGGUGAUCUAGCCAUGGGCAGGUUGAAGGUUGGGUAACACUAACUGGAGGACCGAACCGACUAAUGUUGAAAAAUUAGCGGAUGACCUGUGGCUGGGGGUGAAAGGCCAAUCAAACCGGGAGAUAGCUGGUUCUCCCCGAAAGCUAUUUAGGUAGCGCCUCGUGAAUUCAUCUCCGGGGGUAGAGCACUGUUUCGGCUAGGGGGCCAUCCCGGCUUACCAACCCGAUGCAAACUGCGAAUACCGGAGAAUGUUAUCACGGGAGACACACGGCGGGUGCUAACGUCCGUCGUGAAGAGGGAAACAACCCAGACCGCCAGCUAAGGUCCCAAAGUCAUGGUUAAGUGGGAAACGAUGUGGGAAGGCCCAGACAGCCAGGAUGUUGGCUUAGAAGCAGCCAUCAUUUAAAGAAAGCGUAAUAGCUCACUGGUCGAGUCGGCCUGCGCGGAAGAUGUAACGGGGCUAAACCAUG
rnacentral:rRNA from 7 species